CACAAUAAUAGGCUGGGAAAGCUGGAGAUAGGCCCACUGCUCAGCCGAUCAUUGCUGUCAGAUGUAUGACUUUGAUGAAGAGCCUCAUUCAUUAUCUGAGCAGCUGUAGAUGGGUGUAACUUUGUGUGCUGUAGAGAGCCCCAGGUUUGUCAAACUGCUCAGCCAAGGGAUUUCUCCAUUAUGUGGGUGAUGCUAUUUAUAAUAGUAACAGGGCUCAAAAUUUCACAUCUUCAAGAGUCACAGCCAGACAUGAAAAGUUACUUGCUG